GACGAACCGUGCGAACGUUGUUCGGAUUCACUGGGCUUAAAGGGCGCGUAGGCGGGUGUUCAAGUCCGGGGUGAAAUCCUCCAGCUUAACUGGAGAAUAGCCCUGGAUACUGAAUGUCUUGAGGAAGGUAGGGGCAUGUGGAACUUCCGGUUGAGCGGUGAAAUGCGUAGAUAUCGGAAGGAACGCCGGUGGCGAAAGCGACGUGCUGGACCUUUUCUGACGCUGAGGCGCGAAAGCCAGGGGAGCAAACGGG
rnacentral:rRNA from 1 species